rnacentral:lncRNA from 10 species
CGCAUCCCAGGAAGAAGGAGUUGGAGCUCCGUGAUGCCAUUCAAAAACAGAUGAGAUGGGGACAGAUUUAACCCAAAGGACAUAGUUCAACUCCUGGUCUUGACAGAGGAGAAGCCCUCAAAGAUGGAGUCUCACUCUGUUGCCAGGCUAGAAUACAAUGGCACGAACUUGGCUCACUGCAACCUCCGCCUCCUGGGUUCAAGAGAUUCUCCUGCCUCAGCGUCCUGAGUUGCUGGGACUACGGGCACACACCAUCAUGCCCAGCUAAUUUUUGUAUUUUUAGUAGAGACAGGGUUUCACCAUGUUGACCAGGAUGGUCUCGAUCUCUUGACCUCGUGAUCUGCCCACGUCGGCCUCCCAAAGUCCUGGGAUUACAGGCAUGAGCCAGUGCGCCUAGCAAACGACAGCUUUUUGAGCCUCUGUUUAACAAUCUCUUAAACCUUAUAGGUAGGCAGUUCUGAGACAGCUCCUAAUCAUCUCCCCUCCUGGUAUUCAAGCCCUGAUGGAAUACUCUCUUCUUCAAUGUGAGCUGGACUUAGUGGUUUUCUUCUAAUCCAUUGAAUACACACAAGUGAUGAGCUGUCAUUUCCAAAAUUAGUUCACACAAAGCUGUAACUUUUGUUUUGUUCACAGCCUCUCUCAAUUGCCUUCUCAGCUUGUAUGCUUUGAAGAAGCAAGCUGCAGUGUUGGAGAGGCCCAUGUGGCAAGGAAAUGAGGGUGGCCUCCAGUCAAUGGCUGGUGAGAAACUGAGACCUUCCUUCCAACAAUUGUCAAGUAACUGAAUACUCCCAACAAUCAUAUGGGUUAGGUUAGAAGUGAACCUUUCUCUAGUUGAGGUUUCAGAUAAGACCACAGAUAUUAUACUAACACCUUGAUUGCAGGCUUAUGAGAAACCUUGAAAUGAGAAGACUAAGUAAAACCAUAUCUGGAUUCCUGACUUGCAGAAACUGUGUGAUGAUAAAUGUGUGUUAUCUUAAGCCACAAAGUUUUUGGGGUGAUUUGUUCUACAGCAAUUGAUAAUGAAUACUUCAACCUAUAGUGACAACUGGAUGUCUAUUUACUCAUUUUCCCCACCAAAGUGUAAAGUUCCUACAAGGCAGAGGUUACAACAUAUUCAUCCUGCUACCUCUCACAGCCCAUAAUAUACAACCUGACCCAUAAAACAUGAUUAAUCAAUGUUUGUUAAAUUAACAUGUAUUUUGAGUUUCAUUGAAAUCAGUUAGUUGAAGUGAUAAUAACAUUUAAAUGUGCAUGAGCAGUAGGACAAGGCAGAUAGCUGGUUAGGAUAGAAAGUUUUUGAAAAUUGUGAGGGGAAAAAUUAUUUCUAUUUGUACCCUGUUGUACCCAGCUUAGGUUUCAAAAACUUUCAGGGGGUUUUUAUUCAUUUACCAAAGACUUCAAAGUUGGUGCCUCCCCACCACUCUAAAGAGGUCUUUGCCCUUAUUGACCCAACCAUACUGAUUUGCCUGGUGCACAGUGGGAGCUAUUAUAAGGAGAGGGGAGAAGAAGGAAAUAGAAACAACUGUGAAAAAGGUUGAAAAAAAUAGCGAAAAGGAUAGAAAAAGAGCAGAGGAAAGAGAAGAAGUAGUCAACAUCCAACCCAGAUGCAGAGAAAUGAUUCAAAAGAAAAAGUCUGAUUUUCCUGUCGGAAAUAUUUUUAAAAGGAGGUAGGCAUUUAUCAAAAAGGAAAAAAAAAAAAAAAGAAUAACAGAGUUUGUCUUCCAAAGGACCCAAUACUCUUGGAAUUCAAUGACCUAAUUCUGUGUAUGGUUGCAGUGUGGAGAUUGCCUCUUGUCUGAUUCUCAUGGCAUUGAGACCUCUGAUUUCUCAACAGCACAUGCCACAGCACUAUCAGAAGUCAGGAAUAAAGAACAGAGGGUGUGGGGGGCAGUCUAGAUAUUAUGCUCAGCAAACAUAUUUUUAAAUCAGUGUAAAUUCUAUCUUGCUGGUUGCUUAUCUUAGCAGUUAAAUCAACUUUUCGUUACUUUUGUAGACAUUAUAUAAUAUCUUCUCCCCGCAGCUCCAGCCACCAGCUGUUAGUCAGCAGAAUGGGAGAGGGACUGGGUCAGCUUAAGCUGAAUAACUUCCAUGGUGACAUUUGAGGGAACCAAUUCCCAGCCACUGAACAAACCUAAAUGUUCUGCUAUGGCCAUAGAACCAAAUAGAUCUUAACAAAGAAACCUGAGAGCAUUCAAAGGUCAAAACAAUUGGAGCUAGUUCCUUCAAGCUUAAAUAUGCUCAUCUGUAAAGUGGGGACAAUAACUGUGUGUCUUAUAGGGUUAUUUUGAAGGCUAAAUAUGUGUAAAAGCCUCAGUCUACUGAAAGGUUGCUCAACUGUAACACUCUUUUCAUUUUGUGAGGGAUCAUUCUUUGUUGGAGGUUAGGGACACUGUCUCGUGCAUUACAGGAUGUUUAGCAACAUCCUCAGCUUCUAUCCAUCAGAUGUUAGCACCCCCCCCACGGACCACCAUCUUCUCCAUCAUCACCAUCAAAUAUGUCUCCAGACAUUUCCAAGUGUCCCCUGGGAGGCUAAAACUGCCCCUGGUUGAGAACCACUGUUCUAGUACUUGGCAUUGUUCCAUAAACAUCAGAUGAUAUUUUUAUCAUUAUAAUUAUUACUAAAGGCAACAUCACCCUGCUAUGGAGACAGGUCCUUGGUCUCACGGAAUCCCUGCAAUAGUUGCUGCAUUUCUGCAUCUUUCUGAGAGUAAGGGUUGAAAAGAGAUAAGGUCAAUUCAUCUGACAACAAUCCAAUGGGAAACCUACUGUCUCCGUAGAAAUUCUUUUCAUGGAAAGAAAAGGGGCUACCAUUUUGAUCUGCUGCAGGAACUAGGUCUAUUCCUCAGCCUCACAGUUUGCAAAACGCUACAGACUUUUCCAUGGGCAUAAAUUCUCCAGCUUUAGGGAUUGCUGGUAUAGUUGACUCUUGAAGCUGCUCUUGGAUUUCCAAGGGUAGCACCAUUUUUACCUGAGAAAAGAAGGAAAAAGAUAUUCAAGAAGGAGAACUUUUCAACAGAAGUUACUCCAUUUGCUGUUUUUGUGGUUUUGUGCUUGUUUAGGUUUGCAAGUGUGUUUUCUGCCCAAAUUGUUCUUGCAUAUUCUAACAGUGUUUGCUUUACGUGUUUUGAUGCCACGCUGUUUUGAAGGUACAAAUGUUUUUCAUGGCAUGUCUUGUGUUAAGUGUACAAACUGAGACGUGAAUGUCAGUGACUGAAUAGAGUACAGUAUUCCUCAAAGUUUGUAACUAAAUAAACCCUAAGAGAAAAGUGAAGCGAGAUUUCUGGAGGUCUGGAAGUGGCCAGCUGACAAUAUACAUCUCUGUAUCUCCUAUUUUUAUCUUUAUGCUAAAUGCAAAUUUUACUUUCUGUGCUAAAAUAAUGUUUCAUUAGUUUCAAGGUAAAAAUGUGUAAAUAGAC